rnacentral:lncRNA from 1 species
UGACUGAAAAGACAAAUCAUGCAGAUGAUGCAUAAAGAGAUGAGAAAGAUUUAAUACCCUCAGCAGGUAAGGAAUCAAUUGAGCCGCUAUCCCCUCGGAGGGAAGCGUGGGCGUAUUUCACUCAGGGACCUUAAAUACAUUCCUGGAUGAGUAGCCAUUCAUAAGCAUGCUUGGCCAAGGAGCUUAUGGCCAUGCACAGUUUAAGGUAACGGAGCACACGUUUAGAUUUAAGUGAUGUCGAGAAAGAGUCUCCCACAAAAGUGCUCACCUUGCUUUGUGGCCAACAGCACCGCUGUGGGCACUUGGCGUUGUGGGCACAGGACUCUCAUGGAGUCCGAACCCCUGGUGAGCUUUGUCCACGUGACGCACUGAAGUCAGAAGCAGAAGGCUGCUUAGGCAUGUCAAGAAGAUGGCGGAAGGAUGUUUUGAAUUUCAGUUUGUGCCCGUCCCUUCUCCCCUCAGACUUGGUCUCCUCGUUUCUUCUGUGUUGUUCUGUCAGGGAUAAAGACAGUUCUGAAACCUCAUUUUUGAUGGCUGCUGUUAACCUAAACAACUCUCAUCCCCCAAGAAGAGGGCCUGACCUCAGGGAUGGUGCUGCUCAUGGCUCCUUCGUCUUCAGAGACGCAGCAGGGACGCUGCUACUGUGUGACAGUGCAUGGCUGUUUCCAUGUGCUGCUUCGCCUUUGUCUGCAAGGAUCUGUCUCCCCACUUGCAGAGCACAGAGGUGUCCAGGUGGCACUAACUGUCCCCACCCCUUCUCCAGGCUCCUUUCUGCUGUUCCAGGACAGCCUGCCCUGUGCUGGUAUAUGUUCUGUCAGGCUUCAAGCUCCUUCCCACCCUGGGCUGCCCACAAACACAGUGGAAAACACAGCUCAGCCUUGUAAGCCUUUUAAGAGCCAGACCCUCUCCAUUUGCUGAGUAAACUUGCCCAGGGUUAAAAUACCCCUUGCCCUAGGAAUAAAGACAACAUAAAGUG